rnacentral:rRNA from 1 species
AUACGGAGGGUGCGAGCGUUAAUCGGAAUUACUGGGCGUAAAGCGCGCGUAGGCGGGUUGUUAAGUCGAAUGUGAAAUCCCCGGGCUCAACCUGGGACCUGCAUCCGAUACUGGCAGGCUAGAGUCUGGUAGAGGGGGGUAGAAUUCCUGGUGUAGCGGUGAAAUGCGUAGAUAUCAGGAGGAAUACCAGUGGCGAAGGCGGCCCCCUGGACUGAGACUGACGCUGAGGUGCGAAAGCGUGGGGAGCAAACAGGAUUAGAUACCCUUGUAGUCC